AACAUGUAUUGCGCAAGAGAGCUCCCGGUUUUGUUCAUCGGUUGAGAAUUCUUUGGGAUGCAUAUGGAUUGCAUGUGUGGAGUUUGACCAUGUUUUGGUGCACAUGUGAGGACUGGGAGUUGCCCUUCUGAUGACUUGCCUCUUUGUGCUCUCCAGAGAGAAGGAGGCAGGGCCUGCUGCUCAUCAGGUGCUAGGCCCCCCCAGGUAAACAGCCAGCAGAGUGCAGGAGUGCAAAACCUCUAUUAACAGCCAUAGAAACCAUCAAACAGAGGCUGUUAGCAACAGGAGACAAUCUCACCAUGUCUCACACAUGACUUCACUUUGAUCAUUCCCUGCAUGCAUUAUGCAAUAGAAAUGUGCCUCUCUACUCCAAAUUAUGGAAUAUUCAGAAUUUUAAUCACUCGUUAUUCAGAUUAAACUCUGUCUAGACAUAUAAAUUGUAAUGAAAAUUGUAGCUAUUAUACUGUUAGCAAGGUCAAAUGAUUUCCAUGUCACAUGCUUUUUGCAUUUCCUAAAGAAAAUGUGAGAGCGGCACUUGCCCAAUAAAAUUAUUGACAAGGAAUGAUUACUUUCAUAUACAGUGAGGUCCAAAAGUCUGAGACUACAUUGAAAAUCUGGGAUUCAAAAUCCUACUUAAACUGUAAAGUAGCAACACUAUGAUGUAAAUUUAAUUAUAAAUAUUUAUAAUCCUGCACUAUUUCUAAAUCACUAACCAAAUAAGCAAAUUUGCCCUUGACCAAAUCUAUGCAGAUUUCUGUUAUUUUUCCAAAAGUCAUGAUAAUUGAAAUUC